CAGCCGCCGCGGUAAAACGAAGGGUGCAAGCGUUACUCGGAAUUACUGGGCGUAAAGCGUGCGUAGGUGGUUCGUUAAGUCUGAUGUGAAAGCCCUGGGCUCAACCUGGGAAUUGCAUUGGAUACUGGCGAGCUAGAGUGCGGUAGAGGGUAGUGGAAUUCCCGGUGUAGCAGCGAAAUGCGUAGAGAUCGGGAGGAACAUCUGUGGCGAAGGCGACUGCCUGGACCAGCACUGACACUGAGGCACGAAAGCGUGGGGAGCAAACAGGAUUAGAUACCCGCGUAGUCCCUGUCUCUUAUAC
rnacentral:rRNA from 1 species